AGAACAAACAGUAAUCUGAAGGUUGGAAAGGAGGUAACGCUAAAAUUCCGGGUAGUCCACGUCGCUGUGUUGGGUGCGGCAGCAGAUGCCUGCGUCACCAGACUGCUUCGCAAUGCAAUUUUAUCGUCGUCAACGGCGACCGUUGGUGCAAACAGGUGGGACACACUG
rnacentral:lncRNA from 1 species